UACGAAGGAUGCAAGCGUUAUCCGGAUUUAUUGGGUUUAAAGGGUGCGUAGGCGGACUUAUAAGUCAGUGGUGAAAUCUCGUUGCUUAACAACGAACGUGCCAUUGAUACUGUAGGUCUUGAGUACAGAUGCCGUUGGCGGAAUGCGUCAUGUAGCGGUGAAAUGCAUAGAUAUGACACAGAACACCGAUUGCGAAGGCAGCUGACGAAACUGUAACUGACGCUGAGGCACGAAAGCGUGGGGAUCAAACAGG
rnacentral:rRNA from 1 species